GAUGAACGCUGGCGGCGUGCCUAAUACAUGCAAGUCGAGCGAACGGACGAGAAGCUUGCUUCUCUGAUGUUAGCGGCGGACGGGUGAGUAACACGUGGAUAACCUACCUAUAAGACUGGGAUAACUUCGGGAAACCGGAGCUAAUACCGGAUAAUAUUUUGAACCGCAUGGUUCAAAAGUGAAAGACGGUCUUGCUGUCACUUAUAGAUGGAUCCGCGCUGCAUUAGCUAGUUGGUAAGGUAACGGCUUACCAAGGCAACGAUGCAUAGCCGACCUGAGAGGGUGAUCGGCCACCCUGGAACUGAGACACGGUCCAGACUCCUACGGGAGGCAGCAGUAGGGAAUCUUCCGCAAUGGGCGAAAGCCUGACGGAGCAACGCCACGUGAGUGAUGAAGGUCUUCGGAUCGUAAAACUCUGUUAUUAGGGAAGAACAUAUGUGUAAGUAACUGUGCACAUCUUGACGGUACCUAAUCAGAAAGCCACGGCUAACUACGUG
rnacentral:rRNA from 1 species